GAGAGAGGGGUUAUAACAUAAAAGCUAUUUUAAAAUGAACAUUUUAUUUAUGCUGUUUUUAUUGAACCUAGGAAAGGUUGGAAGUGUUGAAAACUAUUCAGGACCUUAUGCCAUCUGCCCUUAUUUCAUAUGUUCCCUCAUAUGAGUUGGAACAAAGGAGUGGGCUGGAUGGAAUUAAAGAAUGUAUAUAAAAAAAGAAAGUAGUGAUCAAACGCUACUGAUAAGGGAAGCCAGUGUGCUCCUGGGUGAUGUGUGUAUUCAACUCCAGGCUGACUCCUCUUAUGCUAAUACAGCCAAUUUCCUCUUUUAUUUCAUUUCUGGAGCCUGAAUCUGUGAUCUCUGAUAAGGUUCCCAAGGAUACCGCCUUCACUCACAAAUGGGUAGGUAGAGGGGGGAGUGGGUGAUGGAGAUGUGUAACUCCUAGAGAGCACUAGUGGAUGAAUAAUUUAAUGCUCCACCCGGAGAUUUGAGGCAAAACAGAGAGAUAAGAGACACCACAGGGUCUUCUCUGUUUAUUCAGAGCUUCAUCUUCCAAUGACAGCUGACCUCCAAGGUCAAGGGCAUGAUGGGAAAUGGAACCAACAGUGGGAAAAGAUAAACAUGAAAACAUACUAAGGUCACUGCCCGGUGAGAGGAGAGUGCAAGUCAGUGGAUGGUAAGGACUACUACUCUGACUCCAUGGACCCAGACAAAAUGGAUUAGUA